UCAUGACGCCAGGGACUGAGGUGUUGUUGUUUAUUUUCUUUUCUUUUCUUUCCAAUCUCGCCCGGGCGGCCGCGCUACAGUUGACAAGCGGCCAACUAGUUCACUCUUUACCUCUUUUCGGAUAUAGAUGAUUAGUGAUUUCUCCAAAUUAUCUUGUGACCUGGGACACUAUUAUCACACUCAACUUUAAGAAGAGAUUAAAGGGACUACAUACAGUGGCCAAAUCCAGAAGAUUUAAGGCAAAACAGAUACAAUGUAUGAAAAAACGUAAUUUAAAACCCACCAGGAACAUUCACUGAGGAUUUAUGUGUCAAAUGUGAAAAACUCUGUGAGAUGGGAGCUCUCAUUAUCCUCAUUUUCAUGAAGAGGAAAGUGAAGCACAGA